GGUUAAGCGACUAACGUACACGGUGGAUGCGAUGAAGAGCGUGCUAAUCUGCGAUAGCGCCGGUAAGGUGAUAUGAACCGUUAUAACCAGCGAUACGAAUCAGGAAACCCAGUGUGAUUCGUCACACUAUCAUUAACUGAAUCCCAUAGGUUAAUGAGGGCGAACCGGGGGCAAACAUCUAAGGCGCCCCGAGGAAAGAAAUCAACGAAUUCCCCAGUAGCGGCGAGCGAACGGGAGGAGCCCAGAGCCUGAAUCAGCAUGUGUGUUAGUGGAAGUGUCUGGAAAGGCGCGCGAUACAGGAGUGACGGCCCCGUACGCAAAAGCGCAUGCUGUGAGCUCGAUGAGUAGGGGCGGGACACGUGGUAUCCUGUCUGAAUAUGGGGACCAUCCUCCAGGCUAAAUACUCCUGACUGACCGAUAGUGAACCAGCACCGUGGGGAAGGCGAAAAGAACCCCGGCGGGGAGUGAAAAAGAACCUGAAACGUGCACGUACAAACGGUGAAGGAGCACAGGUUUACCGCAAUGGCGACUGCGUACCCCUUUAUAAUAAGGUCAGCGACUUAUAUUCUGCUGUAAGGUUAACCGAAUAGGGGAGCCGGAGGAAACCGAGUCUUAAUUGGUAGGAUUUGCAGGGUAUAAGGCCGAAACCCGGUGAUCGCAUAGGCAGGUUGAAGGUUGGGUAACACUAACUGGAGGACCGAACCGACUAAUGUUGAAAAAUUAGCGGAUGACCUGUGGCUGGGGGUGAAAGGCCAAUCAAACCGGGAGAUAGCUGGUUCUCCCCGAAAGCUAUUUAGGUAGCGCCUCGUGAACUCAUCUCGGGGGUAGAGCACUGUUUCGGCUGGGGGCCAUCCCGGCUUACCAACCCGAUACAAACUGCAGAAUACCGGAGAAUGUUAUCACGGGAGACACACGGCGGGUGCUAACGUCCGUCGUGAAGAGGAAAACAGCAGACCAGCUAAGGUCCCAAAGUCUCAUGGUUAAGUGGGAAACGAUGUGGGAAGGCCCAGACAGCGGGAUAUUUGGCUUAGAAGCAGCCAUCAUUGCAAAAGCGUAAUAGCUCACUGGUCGAGUCGGCCUGCGCGGAAGAUGUAACGGGGGCUAAAGCCAUGCACCAAGCUGCGGCAGCGACGCUUAUGCGUUGUUGGGUAAGGGGCAUUCUGUAAGCCUGUGAAGGUGGCCUGUGAGGUUGCGCUGGAGGUAUCAGAAGUGCGAAUGCUGACAUAAGUAACGAUAAAGCGGGUAGAAAAGCCCCGCUUUCGCCGGAGAACCAGGGUUCUGUCCAACGUUAAUCAGGGGCAGGUGAAGGUCGACUAAGGCGGGAGCCGAAAGGCGUAGUCGAUGGGAAGCAGGUUAAUAUAUUCCACACGUACUUGGUGUUACUGCGAAGGGGGACGGAGAAGAAGUAUGUUGGCAGGGCGACGGUUGUCCCAGUUUAAGCGUGUGGGGUAUUGUGUUCGGGUAAAUCCGGUUCACUUUAACACUGAGGCGUGAUGACGAGGCACUACGGUGCUGAAGCAACAAAUGCCCUGCUUCGGGGAAAGCCUCUAAGCAUCAGGUAACGUAAAUCGUACCCCAAACCGACACAGGUGGUCAGGUAAGAGAAUACGAAGCUUGAGAGAACUCGGGUGAAGGAACUGGGCAAAAUGGUGCCGUAACUUCAGGAAGGCGCUGGGCAUGUAGGUGAAGUGAUUUACUCAUGGAGCUGAAGUCAGUCGAAGAUACCAGCUGGCUGCAACUGUUUAUUAAAGCACUGUGCAAACACGAAAGUGGACGUAUACGGUGUGACGCCUGCCCGGUGCCGGAAGGUUAAUUGAUGGGGUCAGCGCAGCGACUCCUGAUCGAAGCGGUAAACGGCGGCCCGUAACUAUAACGGUCCUAAAAUUUAGCGAAAUUCCUUGUCGGGUAAGUUCCGACCUGCACGAAUAAUAAUGGCGUAGCCAGUAGCCGGGCUGUCUCCACCCGGGAACUCCAGUGAACUCGCUGUGAAGAUGCAGGUGCGCCGCGGCUUGGGCUAAAGAACCCGUGAACCUUUACUGUAGCUUGACACUGAACAUUGAGCGCUUGAUAUUGUAGGAUAGGUGGGAAGGCUUUGAAGUGUGGACGCCAGUCUGCGGAGCCGACAGCGAAAUACCACUGCCCCAAUGUUUGAUGUUCUAACGUGGACCCCGUGAUCCGGGUUGCGGACGGUGUCUGGUGGGUAGUUUGACUGGGGCAAGUCUGCUCCUAAAGAGUAACGGAGGAGCACGAAGGUUGGCUAAUCACUGGUCCGGACAUCAGGAGGUUGGAGUGCAAUGGCAUAGCCAGCUUGACUGCGAAGCGUGACGGCGCGAGCUUGAGUGCAGCAGGUCAUAGUGAUCCGGUGGUUUCUGAAUGGAAGGGCCAUCGCUCAACGGAUAAGGUACUCCGGGAUAACAGGCUGAUACCGCAGAGUUCAUAUCGACGGCGGUGUUUGGCACCUCGAUGUCGGCUCAUCACAUCCUGGGGCUGAAGUGGGUCCCAAGAGGGUAUGGCUGUUCGCCAUUUAAGGUGGUACGCGAGCUGGGUUUAGAACGUCGGGCGGUUGGAGGUCCCCUAUCACCCAGUGAGCUGGAGGAGACACGAGGGGGCUGCUCUCCUGGUACGAGGAAGGGACCGGGUGGACGCAUCACUGGUGUUCUAGGGUUGUCAUGCCAAUGGCACUGUGGUAGCUAAAUAUACGGAAGAGAUGCUGGCAUCUAAGCACGAAAACUUACUUGAGAUGAGUUCUCCCUGAGACUUAGAGUCUCCUGAAGGAACGUUGAAGACGACGACGUUGAUAGGCCGGGUGUGUAAGCGCAGCAGCGAUACGUUAACCGGGUACUAAUGAACCACGUGAGGCAACCUU
rnacentral:rRNA from 1 species